GGAUGUUUUGAUUUGAUUUCUCUUCCGGUGACUCGUGACGUGAAUAGUCUCGCGAUAUUUGAUGUUAUGCUAUGGGUCUGCGCGCAGCGUCGCGUGAAGCUCUGAGGCCUGAACCGCAGCGGGGUUUUUUAUACUUUCGCAUAAGAUAUGUAUACAAGGUUGACUGAAGAAAGUACAAUAUACAUCAAACAGAUUGCAGAUGUAGAAUCUAUAGAUAUACUAGCAGAGGUUAACAGAUCCACACUAACCAGUGAUACUCUGAGCUUCACACACAAAUCAUUGACGUGACUGCAUGAAUCGUGAUGGUUUUUUGUGGAUAAAAUGUAAGCGUUUUGUUGUUUCGGGUUCCAAGGUUUUUUUUUUCAACUUAAUCCCGUAACAUUACUGGUCAAUGUAUGAAAACACACUCUUCACAGUUUCGUAUGAGCCUGAGUUUGUGUGUUACCUGCAUCUUACCAUGGUGAAAUGACACACACAUACAUCUAGGGCUGUCACGAUAAACCGACGAUAAAUAUCAGGUGAUUUAUGCACAGCUUGAAGUACGGUAAAAUGCUGCUGCAUCCGAAAGCCAGAGGGCGCGCUCGUGCGGAAACUCCAAAUACGCACUGCAGAAGAAGACCAUGACACCUUCUAGAAUCUAGGAAAUGCCUAUGGACAUCUUUUAUCACUGUUACUCAAGCCUCAUCAGAGAUAAAAAUGGAUUUUGACAUUGGAAGACCACUCAUUUCUGCGUCAAACAUCAGGCCUGCUUCACAGAUAGAGAUAUUCUGCAGGUUAAGUCUAUUGUUGGUUAAAAUGAAGAAUACAAGCCAAGCCUCCUGGCUGUCUCAGACUUCUUCAGACAUUUCAUCUGAGGGAAGGGGUAAUAUUGUGAUCCUGCAGGUGUGGGACAGGACCGAUAGCUCCCAAAACUCAGCUGACGGGACAGACGUGCAGGCGAGGACAUCUUUCUGGAGCUCAGGCCGCUGCUGGUCAUUGACGUGCUGUUGUUGAGACUGUGGUUUCUGUCGCAGGUGUCCGAGUCCUGAGAUACAUACUCUCUUAAAUCUGUGCUGGAGUCAUCGGUGGACACAGUAUCAUCUGUGACAUCAUCACUGAAGUCUGACGUGUGACUGGCAUGUUCGGUGCUGUUGGAUGCGUGUGUCAUGCGGUACACAUCCAGGAGUGCGAUGUCCAUCCGAAUGUCCAUGCUGCUCGGAUCUUCGUCUGCUGAGAAAGAUUUCCUCUUAUCUCUCCAAACCUCUGCACACACCAGACAUGAACCGCAACAACAUGACAACAUCCUGAUAACUGCUUUUAUUAAAGCAUGAUCAUAAACACAGCUUGAUAUAUUCCCAGCUGGAGAGUCCUGCAGCUGCACUAUGUGUUUUGUGGGCAUUGCCAGCCAGAGUUGGGACAAAGUGCAAACAAAAGUGUCAUUCAAGGUUGUUCUUGAGUUUGCAAGGAGCAGAUCAAGUAGAUCAGAUUAUUUGUAUUUAUAGGAGAAACAAUCAUAUUAUUAAUGCAAAAGUGGAAUUUUAGGAAGACUUUGUUGGUUCAUUUUUACUUGCAUUGCAGAAUUAGUGCUUUGCAUUCAUUUCAAAUGAAAAAUUAGUUAAAUGUUGUGUUUUGUUAUAAAAAUACAGGUUUUGUGUGAGUCCAGCUAAACUGUUGACUUUACAUAUCAGGUAAAAUAAAAUUUGGUUGGAAAGUAACUAAGCUGUGCAGUUUUAGCUCGUGUGUGUUUCUGAGUGUACGUCAGCAUGUUUACACAGUAUUGUUGACAGUAGGUGAGGUGAACAAACAUUCUCAAUCAUUCUAAUGGUUGCCUCAUUUUGUUGAGUUAAGGAUUUAUUUGCUAAUGUCAUUUUUUUAUGAAUUGCUCCCAGUAUGAAAAAUAAAGUAAUAUGCAAUGCUAUACAUUGCUUUCAUUUUACAUCUCCAUUUUAAUAUAAUGCUGAUCAAUAUGCUAUUUUAUUCAACAGAGAUCAAUAAAACACUGUCAGGAAAUGUAUGAAGUGAA